rnacentral:rRNA from 1 species
GACGAACGCUGGCGGCGUGCUUAACACAUGCAAGUCGAACGGAAAGGCCCUGCUUUUGUGGGGUGCUCGAGUGGCGAACGGGUGAGUAACACGUGAGUAACCUGCCCUUGACUUUGGGAUAACUUCAGGAAACUGGGGCUAAUACCGGAUAGGCGCUCCUGCUGCAUGGUGGGGGUUGGAAAGUUUCGGCGGUUGGGGAUGGACUCGCGGCUUAUCAGCUUGUUGGUGGGGUAGUGGCUUACCAAGGCGUUGACGGGUAGCCGGCCUGAGAGGGUGACCGGCCACAUUGGGACUGAGAUACGGCCCAGACUCCUACGGGAGGCAGCAGUGGGGAAUAUUGCACAAUGGGCGGAAGCCUGAUGCAGCAACGCCGCGUGCGGGAUGACGGCCUUCGGGUUGUAAACCGCUUUCGCCUGUGACGAAGCGUGAGUGACGGUAAUGGGUAAAGAAGCACCGGCUAACUACGUG